GAGUGUCUAUGAACGUAGAGAUUUAAGUGGCAAUAUGUUUGGACGCGGGUUCGACUCCCGCCGUCUCCAUUU
rnacentral:tmRNA from 2 species